rnacentral:rRNA from 1 species
UACGUAGGGGGCAAGCGUUGUUCGGAAUUACUGGGCGUAAAGCGCGCGUAGGCGGUCUGAAAAGUCAGAUGUGAAAGCCCCGGGCUCAACUUGGGAACUGCAUUUGAUACUGUCAGACUAGAGUACAGAAGAGGUGACUGGAAUUCCCAGUGUAGCGGUGAAAUGCGUAGAUAUUGGGAGGAACACCAGAUGCGAAGGCGGGUCACUGGGCUGAUACUGACGCUGAAGUGCGAAAGCCAGGGGAGCGAACGGG